rnacentral:lncRNA from 1 species
AGGAAAGUGUCGCUACCUCGUGAGUUGUGUCAUGAUGAUUCCUGAGAUCCCAACCAUAUUUUUUGAAUGAGAGCGAUAUCGCAACUACAAGAAAUAUUCCAUGAGUUAAAACAAUAAACGGUGGCAUUAACUGUACCUGAAUUCCAAUUCCUAAGCACCCUAAGAAAGCCUUGCCAGCUUACAGAAGAUUCAACUUUUACAAAAACAGCACCAGAAUCGUUGAAUCAGGCCUGCAGAUACUUGGGAGAAGAAUUAACUCAUUUGAUACAGAGAGAGAAAGUCAAAUCAGCCAGUAGAUUUGUUCUUUCCCUGUCAUUUCAGCAAUUAAUGGCGAACUAUCUUAUGUUAUACUUAAUGAC